rnacentral:rRNA from 1 species
UACGUAGGGUGCAAGCGUUGUCCGGAAUUAUUGGGCGUAAAGAGCUCGUAGGCGGUCUGUCGCGUCUGCUGUGAAAACCCACAGCUCAACUGUGGGCUUGCGGUCGAUACGGGCAGGCUAGAGUUCGGUAGGGGAGACUGGAAUUCCUGGUGUAGCGGUGAAAUGCGCAGAUAUCAGGAGGAACACCGGUGGCGAAGGCGGGUCUCUGGGCCGAUACUGACGCUGAGGAGCGAAAGCGUGGGGAGCGAACAGG